UGUUUCCAGUCAAAACAAGCAGCUGUUUUCAGCUAAAGCGUCUGAUAAACCUGCUUUGCGCUACAGCCAAACCCAAAACGACAAACAGACAAAGUUAGCAACUAACUGGCGAACAUUGUGGUGCAUUCAACAGCUAAAGAGCUAGAUAUUUCCUUCAGGAGUUGGUGGAGACAAAAACAGAGCUAAAAGAGAGUGAAUAUUGGACUUACUUUCACCAGGAGGAGCUGAGGAAGACCUGGUGGGAAGUCUGGGCUUGAGGAUGGACACAGGGAUGGAGUAAACUCUCUGGACCACCACCUCCACGUCCUGCCCCACAGAGCCAGCCUGGCCCAGCCCCUCUAUAGCUUCCAGGAGAGAAAGGCAGUGUCUUGUUAAAACUCCUGGACCUCCAAAAUUGCACAGAGCAUUGGAGGCCACAACCUGAAGGGAAGAUAGAGAGGGAAAUGAAACAUUAGUUAAUGUAAAUGAUGUAUUACACCUUAGAGCUGCAACGUUUAGUGAAAUAAUCAAUUAGUUGAUUGGCAGAAAACUGAUCUGCAAGUAUUUUGAUAACUCAUUAUUUAAGAUUAAAUGCCAGUUUCAGCUUCUCAAGUAUGAAUAAAUGCUGAGUCAGUUAAAUAUCAUAUGAUGAGACUUUCUUUGAGUUGUGGACUGUUAGUUGGACAAAACAAUACAUUUCAAGAGGUCAACUUGGAUUUGGAAACUAGUGAUAAGCAUUUUUGUUAUUUUGUUUUUUACUAUGUUCUGAUAUGAUAUAGACAAAAUUAUUAAUAUAAUGAAAAUAAUCGUUUGUUGCAUCCCUAUGCUCUGUGUACGUGUAUUACACAUAAACAAACAAGACUAAUUUCACUUGGCAAGUUUAUGCCAUCACACAGAAAUUUGCAUAGAGUUUGUUGUCAACACACAUCAUGGGAGUGAGCAGUGUUCACCUUUUCUUGAAGCUGCAUUAGAAACCUGUUUUAAAAGGAGGGCAUGGCUGAUGGUGCCAUGUUUUUCAGCCAUAAUUUAUUUGUAUUAACUUGAAGCAAACAGAGAUUUAGAUUCAAGAAAUCAAAGAUACAUUUAAACCCAAUUUUAAACUUCUAUCCCUGCAGUAGUGACUAAAUGCACCUGUUACUGACUGAUUAAAUCCUCCACUUAUUGUUAUUACUUUUGGUAAAAAAAAAAAAUCUGAUUGUGAAACGAAAGACACAAAAACAUGUUCGCACAGUUGCACCUGUGACUUUAUAUGAAUUUAUAAAAGAAUAAAUUCAUAUUACAUGUAUAAAGAA